CCCUAAUAGGCCAAGGGAAGAACCUCAAGGGCAUCCACCGGGGUCUGUGUCAGCAUGUCUGGACCAGGUCAGACCAUUGGCCCCCACCAAUGUCUCAGUCUCCGGAGAGGUCCCUCCUCUUACCAAGAUGCCCCCAGAGCCCACCAGGACAUUCCAGCAUUUCUGAACAUGGAUGUCUAAGCUGGGCAAGGCGUCAAACAGAGCUAAUAGGAACAGAAUUGGCAAAGAGAAGAAAUCAGAAGUUCCACUACAACAAGAAUUAUUAAGAGUGACUUCUGUAAGAGAUCAAGAACCAGCUAUGUAUAAGCCUACAACAGAUCAAUCAAAGAAGAAAUGGAAAUCAAAUAAUUGGCUUAUAAAGAAUGUCUGAGAGCAUGAAGAUGCAUACAAUAGUUUCUGGUAAACAAAUCUCGCUGAAGAACAAGCUUUGACUCCCUGCUCUUUAUCUUUUAUGUAUCUACUAUGAGGGUUUGCUCUGUGGUUAUUGUGAGGCUUGCAUAAAAUAUCUUAUAAGUCUUUUAUGCUGAUAACAACUGAACUUCAAUCACAUGCAAAAGCUCUACUCUUUUACUUGCCUAUUUUAUGUUUUUAAUGUCACGAUUUGCCUUUUUCAUAUUGUAUCUAUUAACAAAUCAUUGUAGCUACAGUUCUUUUUAAUACUUUUGCCCUGAUAACCUAAGUAGUUAACACACUACCAUGUUACAUAUUCUGAAUUUGACCAUAUAUUUAACUUUACCAGUGUGUUGUAUAUUUAUAUGUUUUAUUGCUACUAAUUAUUGUCUUUCAUUUCAGCUUGAAGAACUCCUUUCAACAUUUCUUGUAAGUCAGGUCUAAGGGUGAUAAACUCCCUCAGCCAUGCUUUUUAGGGAAACUCUUCAUCUGUCCUUCUAUUUCUGGUGGAUAACUUUACCAGAUACAGUAAUCUUGGUUGGCAAUUUUUUUCUUUCAGCACAUUAAAUAUAUCCUCCCACUCUAUCUUGCCCUCUAAGGGUUCUGUUGAGAAAUCUGCUGAUAACCUUGUGAGGGUUCCCUAUUAAGUUAUAAGCUUCUUUUCUCUUUCUGCUUUUAAUAUUCUCUCUUUGCUUUUAAAUUCUGACAGUUUUAUUAUAAUGUGUUUGCAGAAGAUCUCUUUACACUGAGUUUGUUGGAAACCUAUGAGCUUCAUGAACUUAGGUGUCCAAAUCUCUCCCCAUAUUUAGGAACUUCUCAGCCAUUAUUUAUUUAAAUAAACAUUUUGCCCCUUCUCCCUCUCGUCUUGUUCUUGGACUCUCAUAAUUUGCAGUUUAUUUCUUUUGAUGGUAUCCCUAUAGUUCACCUAGGCUUUCUGCACUCUUUUUUAUUCUUUUUUCUGUUCUCUUCUGACUGCAAAAUUUCAAAGUAUCUAUCUUCUGAUUCACAGAUUCUCUCUUCUGCUUGAUCCAUUCUGCUAUUGAUCUCUCUGUUGCAUUUUUCCUUUCAUUCAUUGUACAUUUCGGCUCCAGAAUUUCUGGGGGAUUUUAUUAUUAUUAUUUGUAUAUCUUUGUUAAAGUUUUUAUUUUGUUCAUGUAUUGUUUUCCUGAUUACAUUGAAUUGUCUUUUUUUAUUUUCUUGUAGCUCAUUGAGUUUCUUUAAUACAGCUAUUUUAAAUUCAUCAGGUAAAUCACAGAUCUCCAUAUCUUUGGGAUCAGUUACUGGAAAGUCAUUCAGAUUCUUUGGAGAUUUCAUAUUUCUUUGAUCUUUUCAUGUCCCUUGAAGUCUUGCAUCACUGUCUUCAUAUUUGAAACAAUAGUCACCUCCUCCAGACUUUUCUGAUCAAAGGAAAUAUCACCUCAGGAGAAAUAUCUCUUUGGGAAUAAAGUGGUUUCCUUCAUCCUUGCUAAAGAUUCUGAGGCUUUCUCUACGGACAUACCUACUCCACACUUUUUCCCUCCUUUUGUGGCAGAAUUCUUAAGCUUAUACAUUUUCACUUGAUCCUGCAGAGCCAGGCAAUGUACUGGCAACAUCUCUUUUACUUUCCCAAUGAUAUUCUCCCCCAGGCCCACAGAUUUGAGCUAGUUUUCUGCACUUACUCACCAGCUGUCUUAAAAAGUUCACUCUUGUCACCAUAGUGAAUGUGCACAGGGAAUUGGUCAUGAGAUGGUGGGUAGGAGUGGAUGAGGUGCAUGGAGCACUAAGGAUGCCUGUGGGCCAGCUGAGGGAAUGCAUAGUGGCUUGUGGGCAGGCCUCCUGAUGGAGUUCUUGACAUAGUUAAUAGGAUCUGCUUCCCUUUGGUACAUUCUGUUCUGAUCAUUGGCUAGUAUUCUCCCAUCUUCUUACCGCCUCCUAGUCGUGAAGCUCACAGCUCAGAGCUCUGAAUGUGGUGGGAGAGAAUAGGCCUUUUUGGCAGCAUCCCGCACAGCUGUGGAAGCUGGAUGCUCAUUCACAUGCUCUCACUUUUCCAUGUGGGAGAAAUCACAGGCUGAGAAGAACUCUCUUGGCACUAAGCUGUUGCUGACUUUGGGGAGGGGUGAUGAAGCUAAUGUCAAACUGCUGCCCUUACCCUCUUCAAUGUGUCCAAUCUUACCUUUUUUUGCUCCAACAAUAUGCUGGAACUUCUUCUUUGGACUCCUGGAUUUCCACAAAAUCUCUCUCAUCUGUGGGUGAUCUUCUACUUCACUGGUCUCCAGUGCCCUCAAACUGGCGAGGAGAGGUUGGAGCCAGUUCAUGAGCACUUCAGGGUCCAGAGUCAUGACCAAGAUCUGUAUGCUUAUUACCUGGCACAGUGGUGGGCGAUAUUCUUGGGUCCCUUUGCAUAUGGUGCUGAUGACACAACCAAAGCCAAAUGGGGCUUUAGCAGAGUUCUCAGGGUUACAAAGUUGUUUCUGAGCCUACUGUUGGGAACUCAUUGGGUAAGUUAGCUACCUGGAUUCAGGCUUGUCUUCUCAAAAAAGCUGUCUUUGUUUUUGGACAGCCCUGGAGUUUC
rnacentral:lncRNA from 1 species